GAUGAACGCUGGCGGCGUGCCUAAUACAUGCAAGUCGAGCGAACGGACGAGAAGCUUGCUUCUCUGAUGUUAGCGGCGGACGGGUGAGUAACACGUGGAUAACCUACCUAUAAGACUGGGAUAACUUCGGGAAACCGGAGCUAAUACCGGAUAAUAUUUUGAACCGCAUGGUUCAAAAGUGAAAGACGGUCUUGCUGUCACUUAUAGAUGGAUCCGCGCUGCAUUAGCUAGUUGGUAAGGUAACGGCUUACCAAGGCAACGAUGCAUAGCCGACCUGAGAGGGUGAUCGGCCACACUGGAACUGAGACACGGUCCAGACUCCUACGGGAGGCAGCAGUAGGGAAUCUUCCGCAAUGGGCGAAAGCCUGACGGAGCAACGCCGCGUGAGUGAUGAAGGUCUUCGGAUCGUAAAACUCUGUUAUUAGGGAAGAACAUAUGUGUAAGUAACUGUGCACAUCUUGACGGUACCUAAUCAGAAAGCCACGGCUAACUACGUGCCAGCAGCCGCGGUAAUACGUAGGUGGCAAGCGUUAUCCGGAAUUAUUGGGCGUAAAGCGCGCGUAGGCGGUUUUUUAAGUCUGAUGUGAAAGCCCACGGCUCAACCGUGGAGGGUCAUUGGAAACUGGAAAACUUGAGUGCAGAAGAGGAAAGUGGAAUUCCAUGCGUAGCGGUGAAAUGCGCAGAGAUAUGGAGGAACACCAGUGGCGAAGGCGACUUUCUGGUCUGUAACUGACGCUGAUGUGCGAAAGCGUGGGGAUCAAACAGGAUUAGAUACCCUGGUAGUCCACGCCGUAAACGAUGAGUGCUAAGUGUUAGGGGGUUUCCGCCCCUUAGUGCUGCAGCUAACGCAUUAAGCACUCCGCCUGGGGAGUACGACCGCAAGAUUGAAACUCAAAGGAAUUGACGGGGACCCGCACAAGCGGUGGAGCAUGUGGUUUAAUUCGAAGCAACGCGAAGAACCUUACCAAAUCUUGACAUCCUUUGACAACUCUAGAGAUAGAGCUUUCCCCUUCGGGGGACAAAGUGACAGGUGGUGCAUGGUUGUCGUCAGCUCGUGUCGUGAGAUGUUGGGUUAAGUCCCGCAACGAGCGCAACCCUUAAGCUUAGUUGCCAUCAUUAAGUUGGGCACUCUAAGUUGACUGCCGGUGACAAACCGGAGGAAGGUGGGGAUGACGUCAAAUCAUCAUGCCCCUUAUGAUUUGGGCUACACACGUGCUACAAUGGACAAUACAAAGGGCAGCGAAACCGUGAGGUCAAGCAAAUCCCAUAAAGUUGUUCUCAGUUCGGAUUGUAGUCUGCAACUCGACUACAUGAAGCUGGAAUCGCUAGUAAUCGUAGAUCAGCAUGCUACGGUGAAUACGUUCCCGGGUCU
rnacentral:rRNA from 1 species